CCGGCGUCUUAAUGGAAAAGGUAGAAGGAAACUAUUCGUUGAGGCUUUAAAUUUAAGUUUAUCGCGGGAUUUUUAACGACAUUCACCGGUUUCGUAAAGCGGUCGUUUGUUUUGGCGCAAUGCGGAAGUGUCGUCUUGAUGCAGUUUUUUGGCUUAAAAGUUGACGAAUUCUUCGUCUCACAACGUCUGUCAUUUGUUUUACGUUUGCCAUCAGUUUUAGGCAGUAACUGUUAGCUGUUGAGAGUACCGGAACAGACUGUGAAGUAUUUCUAUAGAUCUAAAUAUGGUUCGUAAAAAAGGACAUUUUGUCUGGCAUUCGGAAUUCCUACACUAGUGAUCCAUGAGGACUUUAUCCAGUUUCCAGAAUGGCAGGAAGGAAGGACUUAUUGAAUUGGACCACUUGACAAGGCAGCUUACAAAAGUCAGAAAUUUAAAAGCAGCCACUGGGGGACAGUAAAUUAAAGCUUGUCUACAUUUUCCAUAAAAUUUCCAAAAUAAAUACUGGAAAAAAAACAACAUGGAAAUACAUACGACAUCAACACAAAAUAGCACAGCACCAGAAUGAAUGCGGAAGUUGUCAUGAGUGGUGUGGCAUUGUUCCUGUUCAUUUAUGGUUUACAGAUUCCAAAAGUGUGAACCAGAUAUGAGUAGAGUACAGUUUGAGAAAUGUCUUGGUAGAACAGAUACUAAGGAAAUAAUAAAGAGCAGAACAGACCACAUUUCUCCUUCUUAUAACUGGUAAAGUUCGAAGUAAGGGCGAGUACAAUAAUGCAGCCCCAGUGAGAGUUCGUGAUGAGGUGUCAACUGUAAAUGUGUGGUCGUUAAAUGAUGUGCAGUCAGAUUGACAAGUAUUUGAAGUAACAUUAAUUUAUAAAUUAUCAAUUCUGAGAGAAAUUUUUGCUGAGCUUUGUGCAGGAUACUCUUAAAAAAUACGUGAACCAGAAUUUUAUAUUAUAAGUACAAUGUCAGAUGUACUCCAGACUUCACACAUAUAUGUUGAUGUUUAUACAUAUGUGGUGAUUAAUUUGUCAAGUGAAGAAAUUUUAUGAAUGUUAGUGGGUGACAGAACAGAAUUACAAAGUCAAUUACAGAGGUCGACAACACUGAGUUUAGGAUGCAGAAAAAAUCCGGUGAUUCUGACGAAACAACAUACAUAGAAAGAUUAUACUAGUAAAAUGAAAACUUUUAGUGUAUGGAAAAGUUUGGAAGCAGGUUUACCAUUGACAGAAGAGACAGUAUUUACAGACUGGUCUACACUUAUUUUGAUUUGACUUUUACACGGUGAUUCCUCCAGUAAACAGCUAGUGAUCUGAGAGAAUUGUGUUCAUUAUAUCAUACAGGUUUAGAGUGAAUGUAAACUUAAUGUGUAUUUAAAUCAAUCAAAAUUUUUCAAAAUUGGAUGUUGAAACUUUACAACUGUUUAGUAUUUCAGUAAUCAGUUAGGAUUUUUGAGUGAUUUCAAUAAAGUACAAAUUAAAAAAAAAAAGAAUCACUAUCAGCCAAGUUGAUGUGCUAUUGUAAAAGAUAGAAAGAAAAUUCACAAGUCACAUUAACUUGGUAAAAGGGAUUUUAACAGAAUUAAACUAUAAUUGGUGAAGGAAUCUGCAUGUUGUAUCAAAUAGCUAUAAUGUAUUUUGUAGUUCUUUGGAUGUAUCUUCUAUCUAUCUCUUUUCAAACUAAAUUCUGUCUCUUAAAUCUAUUGAAAUUGCCAUCAAAAUAAAAAUUUCUUUUAAAAACAAUAUAUUUAACAAUUAAAAGGUAUAUUCAACAAGCCAGUACUUUGUUACUAAUCUUAGUCAAUGGAAUUUAUUUUUAGACUCGCUCUAUUUUUUUUAAUUCAGUUUCUGGAUCCCCAUUUAUUAGUUACUGUACACAUUUUGGGAUUCCAGCAAUUUUCCACAUCCUCAUUACAAGGUAGUAUUGAUUUUUCACUGGUCCAGUGGUUAACUAAUUUUAGCAUAAAGUAAAACUGUUCUAUUAAUAGAUUUUCAGAAAAUAUGUUUGAGUUAUUUAUACCCAGUAUACAAAUUCAUGUACUUUUAUUUGAUUUGAACAUUACUGUUUAAUAUUAUCCUGAACAAAUUACAGGUUUUCUUUGCUUUAUAUUAGAGAAUUUUGGUAAAUUUCGUUGAUGAAAGGUCCAAGGUACUUUUCUCAAAUAGUCAAUUAAUAGAAAUUUUCAAAUAUAAUAUCUUGUGCAGUGAAUUAAAAAGAAAUUUAUUUAUUUCA